GCGAUGCUAUGUUAUGAGUCUUGUAGGACCAAACACCUAAAAAAGAAUUACACAUCAGGGCCUAACAUAAAAAGAAAAUUUUAUAAGACUUUAGACUCUUACCAUAUAAACUAACUUUUGAAGUGAUAGUUCUCCGCAGCCGAGGCCUGGGUCAGAUGGCAAUCUUGUUUGCCUCCCAUAGAGCUGCACCGGGUUCAAAUCCUCUUGGAGGAAUAUUGAACCAUUUGUAUGUACCCCCAUGCUCUUGGAGGAAUAUUGAACCAUUUGUGUGUACCCCCAUGUAGUGUGUGUGAGUGGAUUGUGUGAGUGUGUAAUGUAUGGGUGUAAUGCCUAGGAUUGGGGGCUGUCCAAAAGGUAUGAACUUGUCUCCCCGAAGACAAACUUAUCACUUAGGAAACUCAGACUACUUUGAUUUCAGUUUUUCACAUUUUUUUUUUGUCAACGUUAAGAUUGCCAUUUUGUUUCAGAAACUACCUUAGCAUCGUGAUCAAGUGGCACAUCCGUCUCUCUCACUUUGAUAUCCAACAAAAUUGAAGACUUUGCUAUUAUUGUUAGACAGCCUCUCAUAAUUGAUGUUGAUG
rnacentral:lncRNA from 1 species